AUGCACGAGUUAACUAAGGAAAACAUUGAGCGCAUGAAUGCUAAAUAUAAACUUGCUGGAGAUAAGGGUAGAAAACAUGUUGUGUUUGCACCUGGAGAUCUUGUUUGGUUACAUUUGCGUAAGGAUAGAUUUCCUGAUUUGCGCAAAUCAAAGUUAAUGCCACGUGCUGAUGGUCCCUUUAAGGUGUUAGAGAAAAUAAAUGAUAAUGCAUAUAAACUUGAGCUGCCUGCAAAUUUUGGGGUUAGUCCCACUUUUAACAUUGCAGAUUUGAAGCCUUAUUUGGGUGAGGAAGAUGAACUUCCGUCGAGGACGACUUCAUUUCAAGAAGGGGAGGAUGAUGAGGACAUCAAUACAAUUGUUACACCCACAGCCCCUGCUGCUAUACAUACUGGACCAAUUACUAGAGCUCGUGCACGCCAACUAAAUUACCAGGAAAUAGACCCUCGUGGUCAGGUUGAUCGUGCUCCGGCGUGGUCAAUAACCUCUCGGAGUUGGUUUAGCGAUUGCUAA
rnacentral:rRNA from 1 species